GAUGCUCCAUGACGGGAAGGAUCGAAAUGUCCUCAGGAUUCCUGGUUCUUCCCUGAAAUCCUCGCAGC
rfam:Monodelphis domestica chromosome 4, whole genome shotgun sequence.